CCAGACUCCUACGGGAGGCAGCAGUGGGGAAUAUUGGGCAAUGGAGGCAACUCUGACCCAGCAACGCCGCGUGAAUGAUGAAGGUCUUCGGAUUGUAAAGUUCUUUUCUAAGGGAAGAAGAAAGUGACGGUACCUUAGGAAUAAGCCUCGGCUAACUACGUGCCAGCAGCCGCGGUAAUACGUAGGGAGCAAGCGUUGUCCGGAAUUACUGGGCGUAAAGGGCGCGUAGGUGGGCGCUUAAGUCAGGUGUGAAAACUCCGGGCUCAACCUGGAGACUGCACUUGAAACUGGGUGUCUUGAGGGCAGGAGAGGAAAGUGGAAUUCCUAGUGUAGCGGUGAAAUGCGUAGAUAUUAGGAGGAACACCAGUGGCGAAGGCGACUUUCUGGACUGUACCUGACGCUGAGGCGCGAAAGCGUGGGUAGCGAACGGGAUUAGAUACCCCGGUAUC
rnacentral:rRNA from 1 species